UUUGAUCUGGCUCAGAUUGAACGCUGGCGGGAUGCUUUACACAUGCAAGUCGAACGGCAGCACGGACUUCGGUCUGGUGGCGAGUGGCGAACGGGUGAUAUCGGAACGUGCCUAGUAGCGGGGGAUAACUACGCGAAAGCGUAGCUAAUACCACAUACGCCCUUCGGGGGAAAGCGGGGGACGCUUCGGGCCUCGCACUAUUGAAGCGGCCGAUAUCAGGUUAGCUAGUUGGUGGGGUAACGGCUCACCAAGGCGACGAUCCGUAGCUGGUUUUGAGAGGACGACCAGCCACACUGGGACUGAGACACGGCCCAACAGACUCCUACGGGAGGCAGCGGUGGGGAAUUUUGGACAAUGGGGGAAACCUGAUCCAGCCAUCCCGCGUGUGCGAUGAAGGCCCUUCAGGUUGUAAAAGCACUUUGGCAGGAAAAAAACGGCACGGGAUAAUACCCCGUGCAACUGACGGUACCUGCAGAAUAAGCACCGGCUAACUACGUGCCAGCAGCCGCGGUAAUACGUAGGGUGCAAGCGUUAGUCGGAAUUUACUGGGCGUAAAGCGUGCGCAGGCGGUUCGGAAGAAAGAUGUGAAAUCCCAGAGCUUAACUUUGGAACUGCAUUUUUAACUACCGAGCUAGAGUGUGUCAGAGGAGGUGGAAUUCCGCGUGUAGCAGUGAAAUCGUAGAUAUGCGGAGGAACACCGAUAGCGAAGGCAGCCUCCUGGGAUAACACUGACGCUCAUGCACGAAGCGUGGGGGAGCAAGAGCAGGAUUAGAUACCCUGGUAGUCCACGCCCUAAACGAUGUCAACUAGCUGUUGGGCCUUCAGGCCUUGGUAAUGCAACUAACGCGUGAAGUUGACCGCCUGGGGAGUACGGUCGCAAGAUUAAAACUCAAAGGAAUUGACGGGGACCCGCACAAGCGGUGGAUGAUGUGGUUAAUUCGAUGCAACGCGAAAAACCUUACCUACCCUUGACAUGUCUGGAAUCCCGAAGAGAUUUGGGAGUGCUCGCAAGAGAACCGGAACACAGGUGCUGCAUGGCUGUCGUCAGCUCGUGUCGUGAGAUGUUGGGUUAAGUCCCGCAACGAGCGCAACCUUGUCAUUAGUUGCUACGAAAGGGCACUCUAAUGAGACUGCCGGUGACAAACCGGAGGAAGGUGGGGAUGACGUCAAGUCCUCAUGGCCCUUAUGGGUAGGGCUUCACACGUCAUACAAUGGUCGGGACAGAGGGUCGCCAACCCCGCGAGGGAGCCAAUCCCAGAAACCCGAUCGUAGUCCGGAUCACAGUCUGCAACUCGACCUUUGCGCGUGAAGUCGGAAUCACUAGUAAUCGCGGAUCAGCAUGUCGCGGUGAAUACGUUCCCGGGUCUUGUACCACACCGCCCGUCACACCAUGGGAGUGGGUUUUGCAGAAGUAGUUAGCCUAACCGUAAGGAGGGCGAUUACCACGGUAGGAUUCAUGACUGGGGUGAAGUCGUAACAAAGGUAA
rnacentral:rRNA from 1 species